rnacentral:tRNA from 1 species
CGGGGCGUGGCGCAGCUUGGUAGCGCACCUGCUUUGGGAGCAGGGGGUCGGAGGUUCGAAUCCUCUCGCCCCGACCA